rnacentral:rRNA from 3 species
ACGGAAGGCAGCAGUGGGGAAUAUUGGACAAUGGGGGAAACCCUGAUCCAGCGACGCCGCGUGAGUGAAGAAGUAUUUCGGUAUGUAAAGCUCUAUCAGCAAGGAAGAAAAUGACGGUACUUGACUAAGAAGCCCCGGCUAACUACGUGCCAGCAGCCGCGGUAAUACGUAGGGGGCAAGCGUUAUCCGGAUUUACUGGGUGUAAAGGGAGCGUAGACGGUAUGGCAAGUCUGAAGUGAAAGCCCGAGGCUCAACCUCGGGAUUGCUUUGGAAACUGUCGUACUAGAGUGCAGGAGAGGUAAGCGGAAUUCCUAGUGUAGCGGUGAAAUGCGUAGAUAUUAGGAGGAACACCAGUGGCGAAGGCGGCUUACUGGACUGUAACUGACGUUGAGGCUCGAAAGCGUGGGGAGCAAACAGGAUUAGAUACCCUGGUA